rnacentral:rRNA from 1 species
UACAGAGGUCUCGAGCGUUGUUCGGAUUCAUUGGGCGUAAAGGGUGCGUAGGCGGCGCGGUAAGUCGGGUGUGAAAUCUUGGAGCUUAACUCCGAAACUGCAUUCGAUACUGCCGUGCUUGAGGACUGGAGAGGAGAUUGGAAUUUACGGUGUAGCGGUGAAAUGCGUAGAGAUCGUAAGGAAGACCAGUGGCGAAGGCGAGUUUCUGGACAGUUACUGACGCUGAGGCACGAAGGCCAGGGGAGCAAACGGG